GGCGCGGGAGUUUUCUGGAAGGUUCUGGGCUCAACGGGAUGGCGCCUUGGGCCGACCCCCGCCUCCAGGACCACCCACCCCGGAUGCCGCCCCGCCGCCGAGGACACCAGGACGCCACCAGCCGACGGGACCGCCGCCUGAAGACCCCCAGGACCACCCCCAGGGACCACGAAGACCACCAGGCCCUCGUCACUCCACACUUAAACCAAUGCCCUAGUGAGGGGGCAUUGGGCCCGACCCCUGACCUCUGCUGCCCUCCUGCCUCGUGUCUGUGUGUUCUUUCCUCGUGCUUCCCUCCCUAUAGGGGGUCCUGACGGCGUCCUGAGUGGAGGGAUCCCUCUGGGAACCUCUCAGGAGGGGGACCUGGGCCAGGGGCAGGUUGCUGGCAACCUGGGUGGGCUUCUGGAAUGAGCACGCUGGCUGUCACCCCUCCCUCCCCAGGCAUGCUCACUUCCUCGGAGAGAUUCCUGUCCUUGUCCCGGGAGUUAGGGGCAACCUUCGAGGGUCCUUGUGAGAAUUAAAUGAGAUAGAGCAGCCUGAGGCCGGGCUGGGCAGAGAGGAGGCUGUCAGCAAAUGUUUGUGGAACAAGCUUGCAGGCCAGUCCGUCCCCACCCCAUGCCUUUCUCUUACGUGUCUUGUUUAUUCUCCGACAGACUCCUGGCAGCCCCCGCGCAUGGGGGGGCUUCCCCCGCACCAGGUAGGGGCUCCACAAAGACGCCGUCGGGCAGACUUGUGUAACCACAUGAAUUAUGCAUGGGGCCAUUUCCAAAGCACUUUGUGCGUGGCCUGCACGUGCAGUCCCUCUGUCACGUGUGUAUGGAACCAGGCAGCCCCCUUUCCAGACAAGGGUGGAUUUGACAUUGAUUUGCAAAAUUUUCAAGAAGCGUAGGGGCCCGAGGAAGAGAACUCUGAGCACAGGAGAAGCCCCUCCCCCCCCCCCCCCGCCCAGUCCUAUGGGGGCCGACUGAACACGGGCCGCCAAGAAGCUGACCGCUUUGCUAUGUUGUGUGAGCCAGAGGAGGGCGUCCUGGUAGGACCCUGCGUGCCAUUGUAGCUACUCCUGGCCCCUCUGCUGCUCCUGCUCUUGAGUUUUACUCCGAGCUUUCUUUUUAAAUACCAGAUCUAGCAUUUGACAAAGGGCUAUCAAAUCCCAGGGGCCUUCAGGGUGGUCCCGGUGCUGGCUGUCACCUCCUCGUGAAGGAGUGACCUUAGCCGAGUCAUUUAACUUCUGCCACUGGCAGCUCCUUUCAUGGCCUUCAGGAGGAUUCUUAAAGGCAGCCCCCUACCACCGUGAGUGAGGUUAGGUACCCCACAGGGGGCUUUUGAAGCCCUCACCCGUAGGGGCAAUGGCACCCAGUAGGUGCUGUGUUGUGCGCUCAGCAGAUCAAGAAUGCACAUAAAUGGAAUUAAGGUGACAAACAUUUUCUGAGACGCUGACAAUGUGCCCAGUUUGCCAGGCUAGGUGCAAGAGACAAAGAUCAUGGAAACAGUCUCUGGGAAGCUAAUUGGGACCCUCAUUUGACCAGGAGACAAAGAUCGUGAAGACAGUCUCUGGGAAGCUAAUUGGGACCCUCAUUUGACCAGCACUUUCUCUGGUCCCCUCUUAAGCCAUCCAGUUUUGUCUUGACCAGACAAAAAACAAAACAAAACAAAACAAAAAACCCCAAAAACCCCCACAACUGAGUUGCUUUUGAGUGACUCAGCUUCCUACAGACAACCGUUAGCUGCGGGCCUCUGAAAAGGGCUGAUUGGAUUAGGAGACCAGUGGAGGUGGAAAAAUGACUUAGAAGGUGACAAAUGAAGUGGGUGGAGACCUGCUUUGAGUUAAUUCAGGCUAUUAGGAGGGGACCCUUUGUCUUCUGGAGACUGGAGGAGCUUUUUACUCUCGGCUCUUUAUAGCCUUCAUGUUUGGACCAAUGAUUUCUGGUCAGUGAGAAUCCAGGCAUCCGUGAGCCUCCAAGUGGGCUGUCACAGUGGCCCGGCACGGUUUUUUUUUUUUUGGUACACACAUUGGUUCAUUUGAUCCUCACAAGUCCCGUCCUGGUGUGGAACCGGCCUGCUACCUCCCAGGGAAGCAGAGGCUGCGGCAUCUCCUGAUUGGGCCCCCCCCCCCAAUGUCACCAUCCCCGUCUCCUCUUUAGGGGUACCUGUCCUGGGCCUGAACCUCCCCCCCCGGUGUCCCCUCUGAACUCUGGACUGCUUUCCUCAGGUUCCUGCGCUCUCCUCCAUUCUAGCCACUGCAGUGUCUGUUUUUCCUUCGCAGCCCGGCUUCUGCAAAGGCCUCUGCACACUUGCUGAUUUCCUUCCUGAUCUCCAAUUCCCUUCCUCACACCACUGCUUCCUGACUUCCUCUCCUCAGUCCAGCGGCCUCCACAGUUUCCCACAGGUUCCUGGUGCCCAGGGGCCUAGCCCUGCCGGCGUCUCCAUCUCUCCACACCCGGCCUCAGAUGGCACGCCUUCCCGGGGCUGGCUCCCGAGACCCCUCCUCAUCGAGCUCUGGCUAGUAGGACUCUCCCACGCCCUUCCCCGCCGUGGCUCACACCACACCGGUUGCCCCACUCCACUGAGAAGCAGAUGACCCCCUCCGCCGGCCCGAAGAGCAGCCACGGGCGCCACCCGGGACCCUGGAGGACCCGCGCCCCCCCGCGAGCCUCUUCCCCACGCGCCUCGGUGGAGGCCACCGCCUGGGAUCUGCGUGGGACCCUGGACCCCUGCACGCCUGGACCCCCUGGACCCCCCGGACUCCCCGGAUCCCCCCGGACGCCUGGAUCCCCGGACUCCUGGAUCUCCCUGGACGUCGGAACCCCCGGACCCCUGGACAUCUGGACACACGCCCCUCCAGCACCCUCCAGCUCUAAAAUCGGCCAGACUAGCGUGGAAGGGCCCUUGUGAGCUGGGGGCCUUCGAGGGGCGGAGGAGAAAACGCAGGCCGAGGACCAGCCUCUAACAUGGGCUUCGAGCUCCAAUGACCUGUGCUUACCCCCUCAAAAUGUCUGGAAAAUGUAAUGGGCAGGUUUUCUGUCUUCAAAGUUUCCGGCUAAACCUCUUCAAGUUCUUUAUUGUUUGAGACUGAGACACUCAGCGAUGGUAAUGGGGGCUUUCUUUUGUAUUUGCCUUGAAAGGCCAAAAUAUUUUUAUAUUGCUGUAGACAAAGCCACCUAUUUAAAAAUGAACUCUGUGUCGGUCGUUUCCCACCGCGAAAACUG